GACGAACGCUGGCGGCGCGCCUAACACAUGCAAGUCGAACGAGAGAUGAGGAGCUUGCUCUUCAAAUCGAGUGGCGAACGGGUGAGUAACGCGUGAGGAACCUGCCUCAAAGAGGGGGACAACAGUUGGAAACGACUGCUAAUACCGCAUAAGCCCACGGCUCGGCAUCGAGCAGAGGGAAAAGGAGCAAUCCGCUUUGAGAUGGCCUCGCGUCCGAUUAGCUAGUUGGUGAGGUAACGGCCCACCAAGGCGACGAUCGGUAGCCGGACUGAGAGGUUGAACGGCCACAUUGGGACUGAGACACGGCCCAGACUCCUACGGGAGGCAGCAGUGGGGAAUAUUGCACAAUGGGGGAAACCCUGAUGCAGCGACGCCGCGUGGAGGAAGAAGGUCUUCGGAUUGUAAACUCCUGUUGUUGAGGAAGAUAAUGACGGUACUCA
rnacentral:rRNA from 1 species